AAAACCCUAGCCAUUCCAAUCCCUUCUCCCUUUCGUCCCCAUUCCCCACGCCGUCGCAGGCUCGUAGCCUAGCUAGCGGCGUGCCGGUGCCGACUCCCGAUCUCAAUCUCGUAGGGCCGCCGCGCGCCUGCCGCGUCAGCACCCUCGCAGGGUCGCCGGCUUGUCGUGCUCGCGUCCGCGCAGGGCCGCUGCGCCUCCAGGUCUCGGCACUGCCGCACCAGGUCCCAGCGCCACAGUCGUCUCGGUCUCUCGGCAGCACUGAGGACGCCAAGGACUUGGCACCGGCCACCAGACGUUGGGCUCAUCCUCCACUGUCCAUCCAUCCAUUCUGAAUUUCUGAUCCGUCAUCUGGGCUUAUUUGUUUUACUGAUGGUGGAUGCAGGUGAAGGCUACGGUGGCAAGAAAGACCUACUCCGAACUAUGUUUUUGUGUAUGCCUGGACAACAUGUGUAGCGGUGAUAACUAAUGAGUGAUCGACUGGUGAUUGAUUAAUGAUCAUGUGUUAUUGUGUUGUUGCUUAAUAUGAGAAUUUGAUGGAUAGUGUUGCUGAGGGGAAAUUCUUGGGUACAAAUUUGUUGUACUGCUUGUUGCUGCAAUGCUGUUGCAACUGAAUAAGUAAUAAACUGAUGAUGUGCAUUUGUGAAUUUGUGAACUUGUGAUAUGAAUUUGUGAACUUGUUUUCUUGUAUAAUUAUGUUGUUGUCAUGUGCUGAAAUUGCAUGGCCAGAAUUGCUAUUUUG
rnacentral:lncRNA from 1 species